rnacentral:rRNA from 1 species
GCUUGUCUCAAAGAUUAAGCCAUGCAUGUCUAAGUAUAAACAACUUUAUACUGUGAAACUGCGUACAGCUCAUUAUAUCAGUUAUAAUUUAUUUGAUGGUGAUUUACUACAUGGAUAACCGUGGUAAUUCUAGAGCUAAUACAUGCGUAAGAUCCUGACUAACGAAGGGACGUAUUUAUUAGAUACAACCGACCUCCUUCUGGAGCCUUUUGUCGACUCAUAGUAACUGUUCGAAGCGCACGGCCUCGCGCCGGCGCUAGUUCAUUCAAAUUUCUGCCCUAUCAGCUUUCGACGGUAGUGUAGUGGACUACCGUGGCGCUAACGGGUGACGGAGAAUUAGGGUUCGGUUCCGGAGAGGGAGCCUGAGAAACGGCUACCACAUCCAAGGAAGGCAGCAGG